rnacentral:rRNA from 1 species
CCUACGGGUGUCUGCAGUGGGGAAUAUUGCACAAUGGGGGAAACCCUGAUGCAGCGACGCCGCGUGAGGGAAGAAGUAAUUCGUUAUGUAAAGCUCUAUCAGCAGGGAAGAAAAUGACGGUACCUGAGCAAGAAUCCACGGCCAAUUACGUGCCAGCAGCCGCGGGAAUACGUAGGGGGCAAGCGUUAUCCGGAUUUACUGGGUGUAAAGGGAGCGUAGACGGCAGUGCAAGUCUGGAGUGAAAGGCGGGGGCUCAACCCUCGGACUGCUCUUGAAACUGUACGGCUUGAGUGCAGGAGAGGUAAGUGGAAUUCCUAGGGUAGCGGUGAAAUGCGUAGAUAUUAGGAAGAACA